rnacentral:rRNA from 1 species
UGGGCAACCUGCCCCUCUCUCUGGGAUAACCCCGGGGAAACCGGGAGCUAAUACCGGAUACUCCGGCUGGAUCGCAUGGUCCAGCCGGGAAAGGUCCGCCGAAGAGGGAUGGGCCCGCGGCCUAUCAGCUUGUUGGUGGGGUCAUGGCUCACCAAGGCGACGACGGGUAGCUGGUCUGAGAGGACGACCAGCCACACUGGAACUGAGAUACGGUCCAGACUCCUACGGGGAGGCA